rnacentral:rRNA from 1 species
GAUGAACGCUGGCGGCGUGCCUAAUACAUGCAAGUCGAGCGAACAGACGAGGAUCUUGCUCCUCUGACGUUAGCGGCGGACGGGUGAGUAACACGUGGAUAACCUACCUCUAAGACUUGGAUAACUUCGGGAAACCGGAGCUAAUACCGGAUAAUAUAUUUAACCGCAUGGUUCUAUAGUGAAAGACGGUUUUGCUGUCACUUAUAGAUGGAUCCGCGCCGCAUUAGCUAGUUGGUAAGGUAACGGCUUACCAAGGAAACGAUGCGUAGCCGACAUGAGAGGGGGAACGGGCACACUGGAAGUGAGACACGGUCCAGACACCUACGGGAGGCAGCAGCAGGGAAUCUUCCGCAAUGGGCGAAAGCCUGACGGAGCAACGCCGCGUGAGUGAUGAAGGUCUGCGGAUCGUAAAACUCUGUUAUUAGGGAAGAACAAAUGUGUAAGUAACUAUGCACGUCUUGACGGUACUGAAUCAGAAAGCCACGGCUAACUACGUG